ACAGCCUUGGACAUUUGAUUUAUUUAGC
rnacentral:piRNA from 1 species